GAGUUCUUUUAAGAUCAUCCUUCUCUUGCAUGGCUCUUUCAUACAAACUCAUCAACUUUUCGUUUUCUUCAUUGAUUUCCAUGAGCUGAUGUUGGAGAUCUUCGACCACUCUUUUCAAUGUGGCCUCCUCUUCUCUUUUUUCAAGAAGGUAACUAUUUUCAACCUUGGAUUCAAUUUCUUGAGAAUUCUCACCUUUAGUAAUAUUUCUGUUACUUUCAGCAGUAGCCUGUUCAUACAGUUCAAUUAAUUUACUGUUAUCCUCAAGCAGGGCUCUAAGCUUCACCCUUAGCUCUUCAUUCUCCCUUGACAAGAUAAUUGCUGUCUCAUUAACCUCUGCUUCUCUCUGACUAGCAGCAGCAAUAGCAUCAACCAUUGUCUUCAAUUCAAGUUGGCUAUUGAUGUUAAUUGGCAUAUC
rnacentral:lncRNA from 1 species